GGGAACGUAGCUCAGUUGGUAGAGCACCGCCUUUGCAAGGCGGGGGUCGCAGGUUCGAGACCUGUCGUUUCCAC
rnacentral:tRNA from 1 species